CCUACGGGGGGCAGCAGUGGGGAAUAUUGGACAAUGGGGGGAACCCUGAUCCAGCCAUGCCGCGUGUGUGAAGAAGGCCCUCGGGUUGUAAAGCACUUUCAGUGAGGAAGAACGCCUGGUGGUUAAUACCCAUCAGGAAAGACAUCACUCACAGAAGAAGCACCGGCUAACUCCGUGCCAGCAGCCGCGGUAAUACGGAGGGUGCGAGCGUUAAUCGGAAUUACUGGGCGUAAAGCGCGCGUAGGUGGCUUGAUAAGCCGGUUGUGAAAGCCCCGGGCUCAACCUGGGAACGGCAUCCGGAACUGUCAAGCUAGAGUGCAGGAGAGGAAGGUAGAAUUCCCGGUGUAGCGGUGAAAUGCGUAGAGAUCGGGAGGAAUACCAGUGGCGAAGGCGGCCUUCUGGACUGACACUGACACUGAGGUGCGAAAGCGUGGGUAGCAAACUGGAUUAGAUACCCGAGUAGUC
rnacentral:rRNA from 1 species